rnacentral:lncRNA from 1 species
GAGGGCCUGGGAUGCAUGUGGUUGAGAUUCAAUGGACAAAAGUCUAUUUGAGCUGUGAUAGGAUUCCUAGAUCGAGUCUAACUGGGAUUCAGGUCUUUAAAACAGCCCUGCGGUGAAACAAAGACUGUGUAGUGUGCGAUCAGCAAAGGACCCUGAGCAUGAGUAGUAGCCAAGAGUAGAGGCAGCAGACAGAUUCUGGAGGAUGCUGACAGAGAGCAG